rnacentral:rRNA from 1 species
GACAGAGGGGGCAAGCGUUGCUCGGAAUUACUGGGCGUAAAGGGCGCGUAGGCGGGAUGGCAAGUCGGUCGUGAAAUCCCUCGGCUCAACUGAGGAUCGUCGAUCGAUACUGCCGUUCUUGAGGAUUGCAGAGGAGACUGGAAUUCCCGGUGUAGCGGUGAAAUGUGUAGAGAUCGGGAGGAACACCGGUGGCGAAGGCGGGUCUCUGGGCAAUUCCUGACGCUGAGGCGCGAAAGCGUGGGUAGCAAACAGG